GACGAACCCUAAAUUCACGACCCUGCUCUGUUCCGAUUGCGCCGCCUGACCAGGGCCUCGGAUUGCAUCGGUGGCUGCGCUAGGUUUGCUCGGACGAGGCGUACAUCGCCUCCGUGGCCCGUUCGGUCGUGCGACGCGAGCGGCUCUGCCGGCAUGAAGUUCAAUCGCGAACGAUGAUUGAUUGAGAGGUUAAUCGACCAUUAGUGCCAAUCGAUGCACCGAGCAGGUCAGUUUCAUCGCCCAUGCCAAUUGAUCCUUAAUUCAGAGGUUAAUUCUGUAUGUCAAUUGAUUAAUUGAGAGGCUAAUCGUGUCUCUGUACAUUCAUGCGAGCCUAUAAAAUGCCAACCUUGCCGCUGCUCCUUUCCUGCUCUGCUCAUUUUCGCAAACCAAUCUCCAGUACAAAAGCGAUGAGGGAUGCUUAGGUUCCAGCUUUGUUUGGUUUCAAGGAAUUCUAGCUACGUACUGGUUGGUUUCUUUGGUUCUUCCAGCUGAUCCAAUGUCCAACGGAAAGGUGGUUUCUUUGGUUCUUCCAGCUGAUCCAAUGUCCAACGGAAAGGGCCUGAUGAUGAUGACGUUUUUUGGCUGAUAUGAACCUGGCCUUUGAUGUUGAUGAUGUAGCAGGCAACGACCACACCAGGAAAGGGCCAACAACAUGACCAAGUGAACCAGACACUCCUAUUGGGGACGGCUGAGACGCCACAAGACAUAUAUUAUCAUAUUAGAUUCUCAUCUUCGCUGUUUUGCGCGAUGCUUGUAUACAAGGCUGUCAUUUGCCGUUAAAACAGGGAAGGGAACGGAUCCUAUCGAAGGCACAGAGCAGCGCAAAGAUUUUGCAAAGGCACCUAAGCAGGGCACUAUACGCAAGAAUAGUAAAAGCAAUGCUCCGAGUCUAGCAUUAAUUACAAACACUCGUAUUUCCUAGACUGCUAUAUCAAUAUGUAAAAAAGAAUUGCUAUAUCAGAUACACAUGUAUGACCAGUACGUACAAUCUUCCUUGUGUCAAUGCUUAUACCCUGCUUACAGUUA